rnacentral:rRNA from 1 species
GAUGAACGCUGGCGGCGUGCCUAAUACAUGCAAGUCGAGCGAACGGACGAGAAGCUUGCUUCUCUGAUGUUAGCGGCGGACGGGUGAGUAACACGUGGAUAACCUACCUAUAAGACUGGGAUAACUUCGGGAAACCGGAGCUAAUACCGGAUAAUAUUUUGAACCGCAUGGUUCAAAAGUGAAAGACGGUCUUGCUGUCACUUAUAGAUGUAUCCGCGCUUCAUUAGCUGGUUGGUAAGGUAACGGCUUACCAAGGCAACGAUGCAUAGCCGACCUGAGAGGGUGAUAGGCCACACGGGAACUGAAACAGGGUCAAGACUCCUACGGGAGGAAGCAGUAGGGAAUCUUCGGCAAUGGGCGAAAGCCUGACGGAGAAACGCCGCGUGAGUGAUGAAGGUCUUCGGAUCGUAAACCUCUGUUAUUAGGGAAGAACAUAUGUGUAAGUAAAUGUGCACAUCUUGACGGUACCUAAUCAGAAAGCCACGGCUAACUACGUG